AACAAUAAGCCUAGGUAGGUGUGUCAGACCUAACGGCUGAAUUUUAGCUAAGUUUUCUCACGAAGAUAUGCGACAAAUUCUGUAAAAGUGCCAUAGAGACGAGUUGCUUUGGAAACAAGGCAAGUGGAACGUGGUAAACCCCUCAAGCGAGCAACCCAAACUUAUGGUAGGGGCACUUGUCACGCGGAAUUUGAACGCACGACGAGGCUAUUUUUAGGCAUGCUUAAAAAUAGCAGACAGAUGAUUAUCGAAGGUUGGCUGAACGGUCAACUGGAACAAAACAUGGCUUAUAGAA
rnacentral:RNase_P_RNA from 1 species